rnacentral:misc_RNA from 1 species
UUCUGCUGUAUGUCUCCAUG